rnacentral:rRNA from 1 species
UACGAAGGGGGCUAGCGUUGCUCGGAAUCACUGGGCGUAAAGCGCACGUAGGCGGACUCUUAAGUCGGGGGUGAAAGCCCAGGGCUCAACCCUGGAAUUGCCUUCGAUACUGGGAGUCUUGAGUAUGGCAGAGGUUGGUGGAACUGCGAGUGUAGAGGUGAAAUUCGUAGAUAUUCGCAAGAACACCAGUGGCGAAGGCGGCUCACUGGCCCGGUACUGACGCUGAGGUGCGAAAGCGUGGGGAGCAAACAGG